rnacentral:rRNA from 1 species
UACGUAGGGUGCGAGCGUUAAUCGGAAUUACUGGGCGUAAAGCGUGCGCAGGCGGUCUGUUAAGACCGAUGUGAAAUCCCCGGGCUUAACCUGGGAACUGCAUUUGUGACUGCAUGGCUGGAGUGCGGCGAGAGGGGGAUGGAAUUCCGCGUGUAGCAGUGAAAUGCGUAGAUAUGACGGAGGAACACCGAUGGCGAAGGCAAUCCCUGGGCCUGCACUGACGCUCAUGCACGAAAGCGUGGGGAGCAAACAGG